rnacentral:rRNA from 1 species
GAUGAACGCUGGCGGCGUGCUUAACACAUGCAAGUCGAACGGUGAAGCUCCAGCUUGCUGGAGUGGAUCAGUGGCGAACGGGUGAGUAACACGUGAGCAACCUGCCCCUGACUCUGGGAUAACAGCCGGAAACGGCUGCUAAUACCGGAUAUGCACCAUGAACGCAUGUUCUGUGGUGGGAAAGAUUUUUCGGUUGGGGAUGGGCUCGCGGCCUAUCAGCUUGUUGGUGAGGUAAUGGCUCACCAAGGCGUCGACGGGUAGCCGGCCUGAGAGGGUGACCGGCCACACUGGGACUGAGACACGGCCCAGACUCCUACGGGAGGCAGCAGUGGGGAAUAUUGCACAAUGGGCGAAAGCCUGAUGCAGCAACGCCGCGUGAGGGAUGACGGCCUUCGGGUUGCAAACCUCUUUUAGCAGGGAAGAAGCGAGAGUGACGGUACCUGCAGAAAAAGCGCCGGCUAACUACGU